ACGGUCCUAAGGUAGCGAAAUUCCUUGUCGGGUAAGUUCCGACCCGCACGAAAGGUGUAACGACUUGCGCACUGUCUCAACGAGGGACCCGGUGAAAUUGAAGUACCUGUGAAGAUGCAGGUUACCCGCGACUGGACAGAAAGACCCCAUGGAGCUUUACUGUAACCUGACAUUGUGUUUUGAUACAUCACGUACAGGAUAGGUGGGAGGCUUGGAAGGCAGGACGCCAGUUUUGCCGGAGCCGUUGUUGGGAUACCACCCUUGAUGUAUCGAAAUUCUAACCGUAGGAGUAACGAAACUCGGGACAGUGUCAGGCGGGCAGUUUGACUGGGGCGGUCGCCUCCCAAAGAGUAACGGAGGCGCCCAAAGGUUCCCUCAGCGCGGCCGGAAAUCGCGCGAAGAGUGUAAAGGCAGAAGGGAGCUUGACUGAGAGCCAAACACGGCGAUCAGGUACGAAAGUAGGGCUUAGUGAUCCGGUGGCAUCCGAGUGGAAGGGCCAUCGCUCAACGGAUAAAAGCUACCCUGGGGAUAACAGGCUAAUCUCUCCCAAGAGUCCAUAUCGACGGGGAGGUUUGGCACCUCGAUGUCGGCUCAUCACAUCCUGGGGCUGAAGUCGGUCCCAAGGGUUGGGCUGUUCGCCCAUUAAAGUGGUACGUGAGCUGGGUUCAGAACGUCGUGAGACAGUUCGGUCCCUAUCCAUCGCGGGCGCAAGAAACUUGAAGGGGGCUGCUCCUAGUACGAGAGGACCGGAGUGGACGAACCGCUGGUGUACCAAUUAUCCUGCCAAGGGUACAGUUGGGUAGCUACGUUCGGGACGGAUAAACGCUGAAAGCAUCUAAGCGUGAAACCAGCCUUGAGAUGAGGUUUCUCAUAGCAUAAGCUAGUAAGAUCCCAUGUAGACGACAUGGUUGAUAGGCCAGGUGUGGAAGAGCCGUGAGGUUUGGAGCUGACUGGUACUAAUAGAUCGAGGGCUUUACUUA
rnacentral:rRNA from 1 species